CAAGUCGAACGGUAGAGGGGGCAACCCCUUGAGAGUGGCGAACGGGUGAGUAAUAUAUCGGAACGUGCCCAGUCGUGGGGGAUAACGUAGCGAAAGUUACGCUAAUACCGCAUACGAUCUAUGGAUGAAAGCGGGGGACCUUCGAGCCUCGCGCGAUUGGAGCGGCCGAUGUUAGAUUAGGUAGUUGGUGAGGUAAAGGCUCACCAAGCCUACGAUCUAUAGCUGGUCUGAGAGGACGGCCAGCCACACUGGAACUGAGACACGGUCCAGACUCC
rnacentral:rRNA from 1 species